GUGGACCUCAUGGCCUACAUGGCCUCCAAGGAGUAAGAAACCCUGGACCACUCACCCCAGCCCAGCAAGGAUACUGAGAGCAAGAGAGAGGCCCUCAGUUGCUGAGGAGUCCCCAUCCCAACUCAGCCCCAACACAUCUCCCUCACAAUUUCAUCCCAGACCCCCAUAAUAACAGGAGGGGCCUAGAGAGCCCUCCCUUCUCUCUUGAAUAUCAUCAAUAAAGUUUGCUGCACCAAAAA
rnacentral:lncRNA from 1 species